AGGCUUAACACAUGCAAGUCGAACGCUGUAGACAAUACAGAGUGGCAGACGGGUGAGUAACGCGUGGGAAUCUACCCAGUUCUACGGAACACACAGGGAAACUUGUGCUAAUACCGUAUACGCCCUACGGGGGAAAGAUUUACCGGAAUUGGAUGAGCCCGCGUAAGAUUAGCUAGUUGGUGGGGUAAUGGCCUACCAAGGCGACGAUCUUUAGCUGGUCUGAGAGGAUGAUCAGCCACACUGGGACUGAGACACGGCCCAGACUCCUACGGGAGGCAGCAGUGGGGAAUAUUGGACAAUGGGCGCAAGCCUGAUCCAGCCAUGCCGCGUGAGUGAUGAAGGCCUUAGGGUUGUAAAGCUCUUUCAGUAGGGAAGAUAAUGACGGUACCUACAGAAGAAGCCCCGGCUAACUUCGUGCCAGCAGCCGCGGUAAUACGAAGGGGGCUAGCGUUGUUCGGAUUUACUGGGCGUAAAGCGCACGUAGGCGGAUCCGCUUAAGUCGGGGGUGAAAUCCUGGAGCUCAACUCCAGAACUGCCUUCGAUACUGGCCGAUCUUGAGUCGGAAGAGGUGAGUGGAACUCCU
rnacentral:rRNA from 1 species